UGAGGCUGUUUUGACUCAAAAUUAUAUUCUAUACAAAACACUGUUCCAUCCAGACCUUGAAAUUGAAGUUGGAAUGGAACAGUGCUAUUUUGCACAGCCCUCUAAUAU